CCUACGGGAGGCAGCAGUAGGGAAUCUUUCACAAUGGGCGAAAGCCUGAUGGAGCAACGCCGCGUGCAGGAUGAAGGCCUUCGGGUUGUAAACUGCUUUUGUCGGGGAGCAAAAGACGCCACGCGUGGCGUUCCGAGAGUACCCGAAGAAAAAGCAUCGGCUAACUCCGUGCCAGCAGCCGCGGUAAUACGGAGGAUGCGAGCGUUAUCCGGAUUUAUUGGGUUUAAAGGGUGCGCAGGCGGAAGAUCAAGUCAGCGGUAAAAUUGAGAGGCUCAACCUCUUCGAGCCGUUGAAACUGGUUUUCUUGAGUGAGCGAGAAGUAUGCGGAAUGCGUGGUGUAGCGGUGAAAUGCAUAGAUAUCACGCAGAACUCCGAUUGCGAAGGCAGCAUACCGGCGCUCAACUGACGCUCAUGCACGAAAGUGUGGGUAUCGAACAGGAUUAGAUACCCGAGUAGUC
rnacentral:rRNA from 1 species